rnacentral:rRNA from 1 species
GAUGAACGCUGACAGAAUGCUUAACACAUGCAAGUCGACUCGAGUCUUUGGACUUGGGUGGCGGACGGGUGAGUAACGCGUAAAGAACUUGCCUCAUAGUCUGGGACAACAUUUGGAAACGGAUGCUAAUACCGGAUAUUAUGCUUUCUUCGCAUGGAGGAAGUAUGAAAGCUAUAUGCGCUAUGAGAGAGCUUUGCGUCCCAUUAGCUAGUUGGUGAGGUAACGGCCCACCAAGGCGAUGAUGGGUAGCCGGCCUGAGAGGGUGAACGGCCACAAGGGGACUGAGACACGGCCCUUACUCCUACGGGAGGCAGCAGUGGGGAAUAUUGGACAAUGGACCAAAAGUCUGAUCCAGCAAUUCUGUGUGCACGAUGACGUUUUUCGGAAUGUAAAGUGCUUUCAGUCGGGAAGAAGCAAGUGACGGUACCGACAGAAGAAGCGACGGCUAAAUACGUGCCAGCAGCCGCGGUAAUACGUAUGUCGCAAGCGUUAUCCGGAUUUAUUGGGCGUAAAGCGCGUCUAGGCGGCAAGGAAAGUCUGAUGUGAAAAUGCGGGGCUCAACUCCGUAUUGCGUUGGAAGCUGCCUUACUAGAGUACUGGAGAGGUAGGCGGAACUACAAGUGUAGAGGUGAAAUUCGUAGAUAUUUGUAGGAAUGCCGAUGGGGAAGCCAGCCUACUGGACAGAUACUGACGCUAAAGCGCGAAAGCGUGGGUAGCAAACAGG